rnacentral:rRNA from 1 species
UGGGGAAUCUUGCGCAAUGGACGAAAGUCUGAACCAGCCAUGCCGCGUGGAGGAUGAAGGUCCUCUGGAUUGUAAACUUCUUUUAUCUGAGAAGAAACCCGGAAAUUCUUUUCCGGUUGACGGUACCAGAUGAAUAAGCACCGGCUAACUCCGUGCCAGCAGCCGCGGUAAUACGGAGGGUGCAAGCGUUAUCCGGAUUCACUGGGUUUAAAGGGUGCGUAGGUGGAUUGGUAAGUCCGUGGUGAAAUCCCCGAGCUUAACUCGGGAACUGCCGUGGAUACUAUCAAUCUUGAAUACUGUGGAGGUAAGCGGAAUAUGUCAUGUAGCGGUGAAAUGCUUAGAUAUGACAUAGAACACCGAUAGCGAAGGCAGCUUACUACACAGUCAUUGACACUGAGGCACGAAAGCGUGGGGAGCAAAC